UACGUAGGGUGCGAGCGUUAAUCGGAAUUACUGGGCGUAAAGCGUGCGCAGGCGGUGAUAUAAGACAGAUGUGAAAUCCCCGGGCUCAACCUGGGCACUGCAUUUGUGACUGUAUAGCUAGAGUACGGUAGAGGGGGAUGGAAGUCCGCGUGUAGCAGUGAAAUGCGUAGCUAUGCGGAGGAACACCGAGGGCGAAGGCAAUCCCCUGGACCUUUACUGACGCUCAUGCACGAAAGCGUGGGGAGCAAACAGGAUUAGAUACCCCCGGAGUCC
rnacentral:rRNA from 1 species